AAGAUUAUACUUUCAGGGAUCAUUUCCAUAGUAUGUGACUAGAGAAGUUUUUCUGAUCCUAUAGAACACCGAAACCGUGAGGAACAGCCAGAAUUAUCCUCUCCUGAGCAUGAAGCCGGCUCUAGGUGUUGCUUAUGUAACUGCCUUUGGCCAUUGAUGAUUGUUUUCCCUUUUCUCUGAAAAGGGUAGAAGGAGAGGAUGCAGUCUGAGUGGA